AGGACGAACGCUGGCGGCGUGCUUAACACAUGCAAGUCGAGCGGUAAGGCCUUUCGGGGUACACGAGCGGCGAACGGGUGAGUAACACGUGGGUGAUCUGCCCUGCACUCUGGGAUAAGCCUGGGAAACUGGGUCUAAUACCGGAUAUGACCUGCUCUCGCAUGGGGGUGGGUGGAAAGAUUUAUCGGUGCAGGAUGGGCCCGCGGCCUAUCAGCUUGUUGGUGGGGUAAUGGCCUACCAAGGCGACGACGGGUAGCCGACCUGAGAGGGUGACCGGCCACACUGGGACUGAGACACGGCCCAGACUCCUACGGGAGGCAGCAGUGGGGAAUAUUGCACAAUGGGCGAAAGCCUGAUGCAGCGACGCCGCGUGAGGAUGAAGGCCUUCGGGUUGUAAACCUCUUUCAGCAGGACGAAGCGCGAAGUGACGGUACCUGCAGAAGAAGCAACCGGCUAACUACGUGCCAGCAGCCGC
rnacentral:rRNA from 1 species